CAGGCCUAACACAUGCAAGUCGAACGAAGUAGCAAUACUUAGUGGCAGACGGGUGAGUAACAUGUAGGUAUCUGCCCUUUGGCCUGGAAUAACACGAGGAAACUUGUGCUAAUACCGGAUAAGUCUUUACGGAGAAAGCUUUAUGCACCAUUGGAUGAGCCUGCACUUGAUUAGUUUGUUGGUGGGGUAAUGGCCUACCAAGACUGUGAUCAAUAGCUGAUUUGAGAGGAUGAUCAGCCACAUUGGGACUGAGACACGGCCCAAACUCCUACGGGAGGCAGCAGUGGGGAAUCUUGCACAAUGGAGGAAACUCUGAUGCAGCGAUGCCGCGUGAGUGAAGAAGGCCCUUGGGUUGUAAAGCUCUUUCGUCGGGGAAGAAAAUGACUGUACCCGAAUAAGAAGGUCCGGCUAACUUCGUGCCAGCAGCCGCGGUAAUACGAAGGGACCUAGCGUAGUUCGGAAUUACUGGGCUUAAAGAGUUCGUAGGUGGUUGAAAAAGUUGGUGGUGAAAUCCCAGAGCUUAACUCUGGAACUGCCAUCAAAACUUUUCAGCUAGAGUAUGAUAGAGGAAAGCAGAAUUUCUAGUGUAGAGGUGAAAUUCGUAGAUAUUAGAAAGAAUACCAAUUGCGAGGGCAGCUUUCUGGAUCAUUACUGACACUGAGGAACGAAAGCAUGGGUAGCGAAGAGGAUUAGAUACCCUCGUAGUCCAUGCCGUAAACGAUGUGUGUUAGACGUUGGAAAUUUAUUUUC
rnacentral:rRNA from 1 species